rnacentral:rRNA from 1 species
GCGAAAGGAUGCGGGCAUGCUACACAUGCAAGUCGAACGGUGAAGCCAAGCUUGCUUGGUGGAUCAGUGGCGAACGGGUGAGUAACACGUGAGCAACCUGCCCUGAACUCUGGGAUAAGCGCUGGAAACGGCGUCUAAUACUGGAUAUGAGCUGCGGAGGCAUCUUCGUGGUUGGAAAGAUUUUUCGGUUUGGGAUGGGCUCGCGGCCUAUCAGCUUGUUGGUGAGGUAAUGGCUCACCAAGGCGUCGACGGGUAGCCGGCCUGAGAGGGUGACCGGCCACACUGGGACUGAGACACGGCCCAGACUCCUACGGGAGGCAGCAGUGGGGAAUAUUGCACAAUGGGCGGAAGCCUGAUGCAGCAACGCCGCGUGAGGGAUGACGGCCUUCGGGUUGUAAACCUCUUUUAGCAGGGAAGAAGCGAAAGUGACGGUACCUGCAGAAAAAGCGCCGGCUAACUACGUGCCAGCAGCCGCGGUAAUACGUAGGGCGCAAGCGUUAUCCGGAAUUAUUGGGCGUAAAGAGCUCGUAGGCGGUUUGUCGCGUCUGCUGUGAAAACCCGAGGCUCAACCUCGGGCCUGCAGUGGGUACGGGCAGACUAGAGUGCGGUAGGGGAGAUUGGAAUUCCUGGUGUAGCGGUGGAAUGCGCAGAUAUCAGGAGGAACACCGAUGGCGAAGGCAGAUCUCUGGGCCGUAACUGACGCUGAGGAGCGAAAGGGUGGGGAGCAAACAGGCUUAGAUACCCUGGUAGUCCACCCCGUAAACGUUGGGAACUAGUUGUGGGGUCCAUUCCACGGAUUCCGUGACGCAGCUAACGCAUUAAGUUCCCCGCCUGGGGAGUACGGCCGCAAGGCUAAAACUCAAAGGAAUUGACGGGGACCCGCACAAGCGGCGGAGCAUGCGGAUUAAUUCGAUGCAACGCGAAGAACCUUACCAAGGCUUGACAUACACGAGAACGCUGCAGAAAUGUAGAACUCUUUGGACACUCGUGAACAGGUGGUGCAUGGUUGUCGUCAGCUCGUGUCGUGAGAUGUUGGGUUAAGUCCCGCAACGAGCGCAACCCUCGUUCUAUGUUGCCAGCACGUAAUGGUGGGAACUCAUGGGAUACUGCCGGGGUCAACUCGGAGGAAGGUGGGGAUGACGUCAAAUCAUCAUGCCCCUUAUGUCUUGGGCUUCACGCAUGCUACAAUGGCCGGUACAAAGGGCUGCAAUACCGCGAGGUGGAGCGAAUCCCAAAAAGCCGGUCCCAGUUCGGAUUGAGGUCUGCAACUCGACCUCAUGAAGUCGGAGUCGCUAGUAAUCGCAGAUCAGCAACGCUGCGGUGAAUACGUUCCCGGGUCUUGUACACACCGCCCGUCAAGUCAUGAAAGUCGGUAACACCUGAAGCCGGUGGCCCAACCCUUGUGGAGGGAGCCGUCGAAGGUGAUUCCAUUC